CUCAGAAACUUAAAGGAAAGUUGACGGGGGCCCGGCACAAGCGGUGGAGCAUGUGGUUUAACUCGACGCAACGCGCAGAACCUUACCUGGGCUUGACAUCCCGAUCGCAUCCCAUGGAACAUGGGAGUCAGUUCGGCUGGAUCGGUGACAGGUGCUGCAUGGCUGUCGCCAGCCCGUGUCGUGAGAUGUUGGGUUAAGUCCCGCAACGAGCGCAACCCUUAUCCUUAGUAGCCAGCAGUUCGGCUGGGCACUCUGGGGAGACUGCCAGGGAUAACCUGGAGGAAGGUGGGGAUGACGUCAAAUCAUCAUGUCCCUUAUGAUUUGGGCUACACACGUGCUACAAUGGCGUAAACAAAGGGAAGCAAGGGAGUGAUCCGGAGCAAAUCUCAAAAAUAACGUCUCAGUUCGGAUUGUAGUCUGCAACUCGACUACAUGAAGCUGGAAUCGCUAGUAAUCGCGGAUCAGAAUGCCGCGGUGAAUACGUUCCCGGGUCUU
rnacentral:rRNA from 1 species